rnacentral:lncRNA from 1 species
UUUCACUCAUCCAAGCAAUUAAAUCAACAACAACUCAAAUCAUGCAGUUAUCACAACAAAUACCAAAUCAUGUGAAAAAUGAGAAUCAAGAGGUCUUUCAAAGGUUGUAAUGUGGCUUAGGUUACAAGAAAGGAUAUGAUUAAGAGAAUUCAACAAAGUUGCCUAUCCUAAGGGAGCAAUCCCAAACAUUCAACUCUACAUGAUUUCCCUUUCUUUGAUCCCUAUCUUUUUCUUUUUCUUUUUCUUUUCAAAUCCACACAACCAUGAGCAUUU